AUACGUAGGUCCCGAACGUUGCGCGAAAUUACUGGGCGUAAAGGGUCCGUAGGCGGUCUGGUAAGUGGAAGGUGAAAGCCUGGGGCUCAACUCCAGAAUUGCCUUCCAAACUGCCGGACUUGAGGCAGGGAGAGGUCGGCGGAAUUCCCGGUGUAGUGGUGAAAUGCGUAGAUAUCAGGAGGAACACCAGUGGCGAAGGCGGCCGACUGGAACUGUCCUGACGCUGAGGGACGAAAGCCAGGGGAGCGAACCGGAUUAGAAACCCUAGUAGUCC
rnacentral:rRNA from 1 species